AUUUUUUUUUAUGGUCAUGUUAAGUACCUUAGUUAAUGAUAUUUCCCACAUGGAGUUCAACUAUGGGCAAAGUAAAGCAGGUCUUAGAAAUGAUGUAAUUUGCUUAUUUCUAGCUUCAUGAAGAUGUGCCUAAUCUUGGGGAUGCAUCUUCACACUAAGACAAAUGAAUGGUCAAAAUGUCUCUGAGAUGACAUGGGAGUGUCAUGCCAAAUAUUAUGUGGUGUCCAUAUUAUAACGAGGACUAUAUGACUGGUCAAAGAAUCAGAAAGAGUUGAAUUCAAGAUGAAUUUGCCAUCUUAUUUGCUAUUUCAGGUGAAAACAUAAUGAAUGGAAACCAUUCUUGUUGAUUAUGUUAGGAUUACUAUCUUAUCUGAUCCGUUUUGAUUGUGGAUAUUGCUUGAUUCUAAUUGUUGUGGUCUUCAACAAGAGAGUUUUGAGAUAAGUUUCAUGUCUACAUCAGUAGGUCAACUGAUAAAAUAUAUGCUCUACAUGUAAAAUCCAAUCCAACAUAAAUUAUGCUUAGUUGGUAGUCGGUGAAAUAAACUUAUGAUUUAUAAGCAAUAGUUGCAAACGAUACAUUUAUAGGCUCUGAAAGAUCCAUAUGUCAGAAAUUUACUAUGGAAACUCUCUGGCUCUUUCUUUGAGAGACAUAACAAGAGAUUCCCAUUGAUAUUUUCUUUAAGAAGUUUCCAACCAUAACAUAUUAACAAUAGAUCACAAAUGUUAUAAAAUCGACAAGUUAAUGGAAAACGUUAAAACGAACAUUAGUAAUGAACAGAAAAUGUGGAAAACUAUAGUAGUUAUAUUCUUCUUGUUCGGUACCGCCCAUUGUGGAGGCUCUAACAAAGAAAAGCAUAAAGGUAAGUAGGUAGAGAAUAAGGUUUAUUUUUCUAUAUGUUUUAAAGGGACCCAUACUUCAUGUUGAAUUCCCUUAAACUCCUUGUUGGUCGUGUGUUAUUUUCUUUAUAGAAUGUCAGUAUGUCACCGUGGUCCAGUAUUCAUGCUACUCAAGUCUGUGAUCAAUGCGAUUCAUUUAUGACAUGAGGGUUCAGUGAAGAAAAUCAACAAAAUAUAUCUAAGAGAUUUUUUUAAUAUGCAUGAAUCGUAACCACCAAUGGUGCUGCAUCAUAGGCCCUAAUGAUAAAAAGAAAAAUCAACAGGUUUUCUUAAUAUGCAUGAAUCGAUUCACCAUCCUGUUGAUUAUGGGCCACAGGACAAUGAUGCAGCACCACCAUUAGGCCCUAACGAUUUACUUGACACAAAAAAAAAAAAAAAAGAUUAGAGAAUGAUUCGAGGUAGCACACUAGCACUAUGUCAUUUCAUUGUGCAUCCCAACAGAAUGGUCAGACCCAGCCCAUUAAGUGAUUGUCCUGUGGCCCAAAAUCGCGAAGGUUCCAAAGGUCCACCACCAAUCACAUCAGAGUAGGCCAGAGGGCAUAAACUAAAACAGUAUAUUCGAUUCAACAUCCGGCUUAUGUUAGCUACUAAAACAGUAACACACAUUUUCACACUAGCCCAAAUUUAUUAGUAAAGAAAUUGGCGCAUCCAACCCAAGAACAUGAUCAUUAACAGACCACAUUCAAUGAUUCAACCUUUUAAA